rnacentral:rRNA from 1 species
GAACGCUGGCGGCGUGCUUAACACAUGCAAGUCGAACGGAAAGGCCCUGCUUGCAGGGUACUCGAGUGGCGAACGGGUGAGUAACACGUGGGUGAUCUGCCCUGCACUUCGGGAUAAGCCUGGGAAACUGGGUCUAAUACCGGAUAUGACCUUCCAUGUAGUGUGGGGGGUGGAAAGAUUUAUCGGUGUGGGAUGAGCCCGCGGCCUAUCAGCUUGUUGGUGGGGUAAUGGCCUACCAAGGCGUCGACGGGUAGCCGGCCUGAGAGGGUGGACGGCCACAUUGGGACUGAGAUACGGCCCAGACUCCUACGGGAGGCAGCAGUGGGGAAUAUUGCACAAUGGGCGGAAGCCUGAUGCAGCGACGCCGCGUGGGGGAUGACGGCCUUCGGGUUGUAAACCUCUUUCGACAGGGACGAAGCUUCGGUGACGGUACCUGUAUAAGAAGCACCGGCUAACUACGUG